UCGAUACAAAAAGUUGUGUCGGUUCUCUUUCAUUUUUUUCACCUCCGCCGUGAAUCUGCAAAGAAAACCCAGGAACCAAACAACCCAACACCCACACUCAGAGACACACCCAUUCAAUUUACAGAGAGAAAGAAAAAAAAACUCAAACACAAUACUCUCUCUCAUAUCCAAAUCUCUCAUUCUCUCACAGAGAGCGCACCAAAACUCAAAAAAGGCGUAUUUUAAGCCCAGGUACGAAUAAAACUGCCUGACAUGUGCUCACAAUUAACAUCACCUCACGCCCACAGUUCUGUUUUUACAAGUAGUGAUCGGAGGCAAAAUGCUUUGGUACGACACCUCACUGCGGAAGAAGAUCAAUCAUCCUCCGCCAUGGAUGCUCACAACAACUCCACCUCUGCCUCGCCAGCUUCCAGCUCCACGACCUUGACUCGGUCGAGUUACCGCUGAGUCUAACAGAGUUGGACCCUCGGAUUGCGACCCUCUCCAACCCGUCUGAACCUCAUCGAAGAUGUCGCCGUCGAAACGAUGUCAGGGUAGGACGCCCUCUCCGGUCUCUAUAACCCAUUUCAUUCUCUCUCUCCUGCAAUCUCUAUGAAUUAAAAGGGAGUAAAAGAUGAGUAGUCGAUCGAGUCACACCUAUCUACGUCGGCAAUCUACCUGGAGAUAUUCGUAUGAGAGAAGUUGAAGAUUUGUUCUUAAAUUAUGAGCCUAUUGUUGACAGUGAUCUCAAAAUCCCUCCAAGACCGCCAGGUUAUGCUUCUGUUGAGUAUGAAGAUCCUCGUGAUGCUGAUGAUGCAAUUUAUGGUCGGGAUGGGUACGACUUUGAUGGGUUUCGUUUACGAGUUAAACUAGCACAUGGCGGACGGCACUCCUCGUCACAUCGUUCCAGCAGUUACAGUCGUAGUAGCAACAGCCGUGGUGCUUCUCGGCGCUCUGACUAUCGUGGGAUGGUCACUAGAUUGCCUCCUGCUGCUUCGUGGCAGGAUCUGAAGGGAAAAGCUCUGAUUGCUUGGAGUCUUCUAUUUUUUGAUCAAGAAUAAGCCUAGAGGAGAAGCUGCAGGCAGGUAUAGACUACGCUUGCGGUGAGGGCGUGGCAGACUGCCAUCAGAUCGAGCCGAGGUCUGUGUGUUACGAUCCUAACACCCUCGAGGCCCACGCAUCAUACGCCUUCAACAGUUACUACCAGAAGAAGGCACGUGGAGUCGGUAUGUGCUAUUUUGGCAAGGCAGCCUACGUGGUCUCUCAACCACCCAUCCAGAUAUCCAGAAGGCAUACCUUUGGUUACUACAUUUGUUCACCCCUCAAUGAUUAAGAUGCUUGAUGCUGCUACAGAAGAUGCUCUCGAACGUGAUAACUGGAGCCAUUCAGAAAGGCAUCAAGUUCGGAAAAAGAUAAAGACUCUCAUCAUAAAGGAGCGCAUGUUCCUACUCUUCACAGACGACACCAUGAUGUUAAGGGAAAAGAGAAAGCAAAAGCAGAAAGCAAAAGAGAAAUCAAAAGCAGAAAGCAAAAGAGAAAGCAAAAGCAAUGAAUAAACACCCCACCAGAAUGAUAUGAUUUGCUUUUCUUGUUUUUGUAUAAUGUGAUUUAUUUUUCUUAUCUUUCAGAGACAUCUAUAUAAACCCCAUCAGAAGGUAAUAAAAAAAAUUUAAAAAUUAAAAUAAAAUAAAAGGGCAAAGCCCAAAAUAAAUGGGCUGGAAUGUUGUGUGGAGAGUGAAGGCCCAUAUGCCCAAAAGAGCUAGGCCCUCUAUUAUCACCAACCAGGUGACCAAAAGUACGCCUAGUACUCCAAAAUUAUUCGGCAACCUGCUGCUAUUAGCACCAACCAGGUGAUCAAAAGUACGCCCAGUACUCCAAAAUUAUUCGGCAACCCGCCGCUAUUACCACCAACCAGGUGAUGAAAUGUACAACCCGUACUCUAAUAUCAUUUAGCAACUAGCCAUUCAUGCCACCAACCAAGUGAUGAAAUGUACAACUCGUACUCUCCUUCAUGCCACCAACCAGGUGACCAAAAGUACGCCCAGUACUCCAAAUUAUACAUGAGCAUUACUCAUGUCAUUCAUACAUAAACAUUCAUAAGCAUCACUCAUGACAAUCAUACAUAAACAUUCAUGACCAUCAUUCAUGUCAACAUUCAUGAGCAUCACUCAUGUUAACAUUCAUGAGCAUCACUCAUGUUAACAUCCAUGAGCAUCAGUCAUGACAACAUCCAUGAGCAUCAUUCAUGUCAAUCAACAUAAACAUUCAUGAGCAUCACUCAUGUCAAUCAGCUUCAAAAGCUUCAUUUACAUAACUCUAGCUUAAAAGCUUCAUUUACAGAUCUCUAGCUUCAAAAGCUUCAUUUACAAAAACUCCAGCUUCGAAAGCUUCAUUUAUAGAGCUCUAGCUUCAAAGCUUCACUUGCAAAGUUUCACCUACAAAGCUUCAGUGCAGGGCAUACAAAUACCGCCUCCGAACAACCGCCACCUCGGCCCAUACAUGGAUUCAAUUUAAAGUCUCCAGCCAACAGACUCUAUUGACCGAAGACUUGGGGGACUACAUUAUGUACCAUAUAUUGGGCCUCAUCUGAGCCUCAUGAAAAAUACUUAGGGGACUUAGCCCAUUAUUUAUGUAUUAAGGAGCGAGCCUUUAUUCUAUAAAAGGGACUCCCUCACUUUCAUUAGAGAGCACCCAAUAUUCAUGUACUGAAGAGCGAGCCCUUAUUUUAUAAAAGGGACUCCCUCACCUUCAUUAGAGAGCAACGCCGCCAGCUGAGCAACCGCCUCGCUGCCAGCAUCACUCCUAGCCCAUCACUUAUGUAUUGAGGAGCGAGCCCUUAUUCUAUAAAAUGGACUCCCUCACCUUCAUUAGAGAGCAACGCCGCCAGCUGAGCAACCGCCUCGCUGCGAGCAUCACUCCUACCCCAUCACUUAUGUAUUGAGAAGCAAGCCCUUAUUCUAUAAAUGGACUCUCUCACCAUCAUUAGAGAGUAUCAACUCUAGCCCAUCAUUCAUGUAUUAAGGAGCCGAGCCCUUAUUCUAUAAAACUCCCUCACCUUCAAAUGCCACAAGCCGAGCCAACCAAGGCAACAUAAGCCACGAGCCGAGCAGCCUCGCAGCAUAUGCUACUUCUAGUUGAGCAUCAUUUCAGAUUGAGCACCGCCUCAUAUCGAACAUCAGUUGAAGACGACAUCUAGUUACUUCGGCCCACACAUGGACUGAAUUUCAAGUCUCCAGCCAAAAGACUCUCUUGACUGGAGACUUAGGCGACUACUGUUUAUACCAUACUUAGGGCCUCCAUAUUUAGAUCUCGUACAAAUACUCGGGGGACUUAAAUGUAAUUAUGUAAUAAAGGAAUGGGCAAAUAUGUAAUAAGUGAGGAGCCCUUAUUUUAUAAAAUGACCCCUCACCCUCACAAUUAGGGGAGGCCAUUUCCUAGGCCUGAGGUCUCUCAUAUUCAGAAGAAGCCUCCUCACCCCCAGAGGCUUCACUCUCACCUCACAAACUCUCUCUCCCUCUCAGAAAUACAAUAUCAAUGUGGACGUAGCCCAAACCUUGGGGUGAACCACGAUACAUCUUGUGUUAUUUACUUUACUUGCAGAUUCACGGUCGGAUUUACGUUGUUCCAAGACCUCUGAUUUUGUGCAUCAACAAAAUACAUAAUAAUUCACCGUCAUUCUACGUAGUACUUCGUAUUUAUGCAUGUUAUACGGUACCAACAAAUAAACACAAAAUUGGUGUGUUUUUUUGUUUGAAAUCCGCAUUACAUACAAAAGUUGUGCUCAUCAACUUAAUAAUCCUGCAAUCUGACCAGUUGUCGCUCUGUCUAAACAAUAUACUAGAAUUCAAAAUUAGCAAGCCAGCGUGAUACUUAAAAUAGGGCACAGAAAGCAGAAACCCUACUCUUCCUCUUCUACAUAUAUAUGCUUCUUCAGUAUACAAGACCAUAACAAAAGUUAAACCAUAUAAGGACAACGGUUAAUGCCUAGAACAUGCCACUGUGAACAUUAAACAACAACAUACUAAAUAUAGGUAAAAACAAGACUAAGAAUAUGCAACUAUUGUAAAAGACACAACCAAAACGAAUGCUAGCUAGCUAGCUAGGGAUGGGAAAAAUUAAUAUUCAAAUGUUGUUAGCUAGUUAGAACUUUGAACUCACCUAUUUGCCCUCUUCGAAUGCAACAAAAAUGCAUGUAUUAUUGAGAGAGAUAUGCUAGUCAAAAAGCAGAAGGAAGUGGGUGGGUGGGUGGGGGGAGGGGAGGGUGGGGUGGAGAGAUUCUGUGGUUCGGAACCGGACCACAUGUUUCCAACAGCUAUAGACUCAAAAACAACCUCAUAUCCCACCCCCUGCUAUUGAAGCCCACCGCUAUCCCCACCUGGUCUCACCACCCCCCCUUCCUUCUCUCUCUCUCUCUCUCUCUCUCACAAACACCCUACUCUGGCUCCCGCACCGAAGAGUCUCUCAACGGGGUUGGGGGUGAUGAAAGAAGGAGAGCUAGCGAUCUAUUUUUCUACGUCUAGGAAAGGCUGCAAGAACUUUCUUCCUUCUAAGCCUUCACUUUCCUUUUUUGGUAAACUAAGGCUUCACUUUCCUUGUAUGGAUAAGUUGGUAAACGAAGAAAAAAAAAAAGAAAAAGGAGAGAAAAACCAUACAUUAAAAGUGGAAAAAAUAAUGGAAAAAUAAAUAAACCUUUAUCGUGUAGAGUGUUGGAAGCAACAAGUGUGGGAAUCCUAUUGUCAGAAAUAUUGAGCCUUUUGUUUUGUGCAGUGAUCAGAGGCCUCAGUCCCUUCCUCCUGUGCCUUCUUGUGGUUUAAUUUGCUUGCCCCUUCCUGUUUGUAUGUUUCUUUGUGUCUCACGGUUAGAUUGAUAGAUUCUACUCCAACCCUUGUGUUCUUUAUACUAAUUUACAUGGACGGUACUAGUACAUGGUCUCGCUCUGUACUCUAUUCUAUUGCACAAACACAGACAUUUGAUCAUAAUAAUAUUGAGAUUUUUCUAUAAUUUAUAGAUUUUGUAUCUUAUCCAAGCGUGAUUAUAGCUGUUUGAUUGACUGAUUAAUCAUCCUUACUUUGUAUUACUUUUGGGUUAUACAACUUGUUUUGUACGAUUGUAAAGUAAUUAAGUAGGAUCUCUUGUGUCGACUUAUUACUUUUCGGAUCACACAAGAAGAUAUUUCUCAUAAAUUCUCUCAAAUAAUUGAAUUGGAAUGAAAGAAAUAGGUUUUACAGCAAACCAAUCUAUAAACUGAUGUGGUUCUUCAUUGUAGUUCUUUACUAUAAACUGAUGUCACUUUUUUUUAAGAUCAGACAUUUUAGCGAAUAAAUGUACGUAUUUUUCUAAAUGAAACUCUAUCACAUGAAUUAUUUACUUCUUCCUUUAAUUAUAGCAAUUAGAUUGCUUUUUCAUAAUUCCGUAUUAGGAUAUAUGAAUCGGUCAUAAUUUAUCAUAAUACUUUGGCAUUAUAUAAUUAAUAUUGUUUGUGAAUGCGUUUUUAAUUGUUGGAUACCGAAUACACACUUCAUUACUUUUGCACUAUAGAAUUUGUACUGAAAGUAAACACAGUUGUAGUCGCACGAUCGACCGACCAAACUUACACAUUCAAAAAACUAAAAAUAAACUGGAACCGCCCUUGACAUUGAUAUUAGCUCAAGUAAUUAAUUAAAGUAAUUAGUGGUGGCAUGGAGUUGAGUGGGUGGGAUUAAUUUGUAAGCUUGUGAGGAUCAUUGAUCAGUGCUUCUAUACGCCUCGAACUACACGCACACUUACACACAUA
rnacentral:lncRNA from 1 species